rnacentral:rRNA from 1 species
AGGGAAUCUUCGGCAAUGGACGCAAGUCUGACCGAGCAACGCCGCGUGAGUGAAGAAGGUUUUCGGAUCGUAAAACUCUGUUGUUAGAGAAGGACAAGGAUGAGAGUGGAAAGUUCAUCCCUUGACGGUAUCUAACCAGAAAGCCACGGCUAACUACGUGCCAGCAGCCGCGGUAAUACGUAGGUGGCAAGCGUUGUCCGGAUUUAUUGGGCGUAAAGCGAGCGCAGGCGGUCUUUAAGUCUGAUGUGAAAGCCCCCGGCUUAACCGGGGAGGGUCAUUGGAAACUGGGAGACUUGAGUGCAGAAGAGGAAAGCGGAAUUCCAUGUGUAGCGGUGAAAUGCGUAGAUAUAUGGAGGAACACCAGUGGCGAAGGCGGCUUUCUGGUCUGUAACUGACGCUGAGGCAUGAAAGCGUGGGGAGCAAAC